rnacentral:tRNA from 1 species
GCGGAGGUGGUGAAAUGGCAGACACGCAGGUCUCAGAAGCCUGUGCCGUAAGGUAUGAGGGUUCAACUCCCUCCCUCCGCA